UACGUAGGGGGCAAGCGUUGUCCGGAAUCAUUGGGCGUAAAGCGCGUGUAGGCGGCUCGGUAAGUCCGCUCUGAAAGUCCGGGGCUCAACCCUGGGAUGCCGGUGGAUACUGUCGAACUAGAGUACGGAAGAGGCGAGUGGAAUUCCCGGUGUAGCGGUGAAAUGCGCAGAUAUCGGGAGGAACACCAAUUGCGAAGGCAGCUCGCUGGGACGUCACUGACGCUGAGACGCGAAAGCGUGGGGAGCAAACAGGG
rnacentral:rRNA from 1 species